rnacentral:snRNA from 1 species
AUCACUUCUCAGCCUUUUGGCUAAGAUCAAGUGUAGUAUAUUACUAUAUUAUAGUAAUAUAUUACUAGGUGUCUUCAAUGAACACAAAAUUUCAUUUAAGUACAAACAGAUGGUUUGGAAAACAAAUU